UAGCUGAGUUGGUAAAGAAUCUGCCUGCAAUGCAGGAGACCUAGGUUCAAUCCCUGG
rnacentral:tRNA from 1 species